AUCCUGCCGUUCACGUGAGUAAGCGCGUUAUAUAAACCAACAUUUUUAAUAAGGGAGUCCGUUCUCUGACCUGCGGCUUGCAUGCCCCCCGGUUUUAUUGCCGGCUUUAGGGGACCGAUAAGCAGUCAGGAGGACACCCACCUGCUUAGGCAGGUUUGUAUAAGGCUUAUAACGGCUCGGCGGGGAU
rnacentral:other from 2 species